rnacentral:rRNA from 1 species
AAAACCAAUGCCCUUCGGGGCUCUCUUGGUGAUUCAUGAUAACUUCUCGAAUCGCACGGCCCCGCGCCGGCGAUGGUUCAUUCAAAUUUCUUCCCUAUCAACUUUCGAUGCUACGGUAUUGCCCUAGCAUGGUUGCAACGGGUGACGGAGGGUUAGGGCUCGACCCCGGAGAAGGAGCCUGAGAAACGGCUACUACAUCCAAGGAAGGCAGCAGGCGCGCAAAUUACCCAAUCCCGACUCGGGGAGGUAGUGACGAUAAAUACCGAUACAGGGCUCUUUUGGGUCCUGUAAUUGGAAUGAGUACAAUUUAAAUCCCUUAACGAGGAACAAUUGGAGGGCAAGUCUGGUGCCAGCAGCCGCGGUAAUUCCAGCUCCAAUAGCGUAUAUUAAGUUGUUGAGGUUAAAAAGCUCGUAGUUGAACCUUGGGCCUAGCCGACCGGUCCGCCUCACCGCGUGCACUGGUUCAGUUGGGUCUUUCCUUCUGGAGAACCUCAUGCCCUUUACUGGGUGUGUUGGGGAACCAGGACUUUUAC